rnacentral:rRNA from 1 species
CCUACGUGUAGGCAGCAGUGGGGAAUAUUGGACAAUGGGCGAAAGCCUGAUCCAGCCAUGCCGCGUGUGUGAAGAAGGCCUUCGGGUUGUAAAGCACUUUCAGUGGGGAAGAAAGCCUUGGGGCUAAUACCCUCGAGGAAGGACAUCACCCACAGAAGAAGCACCGGCUAACUCCGUGCCAGCAGCCGCGGUAAUACGGAGGGUGCGAGCGUUAAUCGGAAUUACUGGGCGUAAAGCGCGCGUAGGCGGUCUGAUAAGCCGGUUGUGAAAGCCCCGGGCUCAACCUGGGAACGGCAUCCGGAACUGUCAGGCUAGAGUGCAGGAGAGGAAGGUAGAAUUCCCGGUGUAGCGGUGAAAUGCGUAGAGAUCGGGAGGAAUACCAGUGGCGAAGGCGGCCUUCUGGACUGACACUGACGCUGAGGUGCGAAAGCGUGGGUAGCAAACAGGAUUAGAUACCCUUGUAGUC